GGCCAGCGAUGUGUGGGGCAAGUCAACGGUGAAGAUCUACUGCCCACUCUGUAAAAACUACUUCCAUCCUAAAACUGAUAGACAGAUGGACGGAGCCAUGUUCGGGCCCAGCUUCCCGGACAUCUUCUUAACGCAGCUGCCGAACUUGAGACCGCCCCUGGACGACCCACGGUAAGUAAUUCUCCGAAUAUAGUCCUGGUUGUUUUCCAAACAAAGCUUGCACUUGCAGUCCCUAUGUUUCGGUUGCACCAGAAGGCCUUGAUGCCACUCAAAUCGUCCAAGUCCUCGCCAAAGAAUAUCGGAUCCUCGGUCAGCUAGUACUCCUCCUCGCUCCGGCAUUCCGAAGUCAAGCGCUUCAAUGUUCUUCUAGGGAUGGCGUGAUUUUUUAACUCCACAUGAAAGAAAGCAGAAAUGUUUGUCCGAUAUAUUGUUGUUGCAAUUAAACAGAUUCCGCAGUGCGUUGAUAUGGCCAGCUACCACCUACUAAUACACCUACAUACACCUGCCCUAAAUACUUGGUUCAAAGUGUUCGGUCCCAAGCUGGUCAUAUCAAGCACUCAUUCGAGUAGCAAAGCAUACUUUUCGUUAAUAGUGGUAAUCACCUGGGUAUAAUAAUAAUAUUAAUCAAUAAAAUAUUCAAUUCAGUUUUUUAUUUAAUUUUAAUGAAUUUUUUCUAAAAAAAAAAUAAAUAAAAACGAAAAAAUUCAAAUAAAAAUUAACCCGAGUUAUCUUUUAUUUAAAUGGUUAAUUGGUGGUAUAACUGAAUGGUUAGUUUAUUAAUGAAUUGAAUGUUAAACAAGAGAGAAUGCUAUAGUCGAGUUCCCCGACUAUCAGAUACCCUUUAUCACCUAGUGUUAAUGCGAACGCAAAAUUUCAUCAUUUUUCUGUCGAUAUGGAUAGAUAUUGGGGAAUACCAUGAGAAAAAAAUUAUACAUUUAUGUUAAAAGAGUUUCCAAAAUUGUUUUCCUGACAUUACAACAAAUAUUUUUUGAUAAUUUAAUUUCAGAUUUAACAUUAUUCUUUAAAUAUACAAAUUCUGGUUUAAUGUAUUAUAGGAGUAGAAGGUUAAAAUAUUAUUUUUAAUGUAAAAUAAAAUUAUAAUUUUAAUUCAAUCGUUUUUAUGUAAUUCUUUUUGUAGAGUAUUCAAUAAUGGCAACUUCGUAUUUUAGUUUGAUUUCCCGUGCAGUUUUUGGUUAAUUUCCAACAUACCAAAUUGAUUUCGCGCGUAAAUUUAAACGCACUUUAUUGCCUUUUUGGAAGAACGU
ensembl:ncRNA Su(Ste):CR42418 Su(Ste):CR42418